AUUGAACGCUGGCGGCAUGCCUUACACAUGCAAGUCGAACGGCAGCACGGGAGCAAUCCUGGUGGCGAGUGGCGAACGGGUGAGUAAUAUAUCGGAACGUGCCCAGUCGUGGGGAUAACGUAGCGAAAGCUACGCUAAUACCGCAUACGAUCUAUGGAUGAAAGCGGGGGAUCGCAAGACCUCGCGCGAUUGGAGCGGCCGAUAUCAGAUUAGGUAGUUGGUGAGGUAAAGGCUCACCAAGCCGACGAUCUGUAGCUGGUCUGAGAGGACGACCAGCCACACUGGGACUGAGACACGGCCCAGACUCCUACGGGAGGCAGCAGUGGGGAAUUUUGGACAAUGGGCGCAAGCUGAUCCGAGCAAUGCCGCGUGCAGGAUGAAGG
rnacentral:rRNA from 1 species